rnacentral:sRNA from 1 species
GGGAGCCGCGCAGCGCCUACGGGAGUCCGGCGGCAGCAGCCGGUACCGGAAACCACGGGAAUCUCUCAGGGAAUCUCCGUCGUCAGGCCAGAGGCCCCAGUCCCCGCGAGUCCAGAUGCCUGUCCAGCCUCCAAGCAAAGACACAGAAGAGAUGGAAGCAGAGGGUGAUUCUGCCGCUGAGAUGAAUGGGGAGGAGGAAGAGAGUGAGGAGGAGCGGAGCGGCAGCCAGACAGAGUCAGAAGAGGAGAGCUCUGAGAUGGAUGAUGAGGACUAUGAGCGACGCCGCAGCGAGUGUGUCAGUGAGAUGCUGGACCUAGAGAAGCAGUUCUCAGAGCUAAAGGAGAAGUUGUUCAGGGAACGACUGAGUCAGCUGCGGUUGCGGCUGGAGGAAGUGGGGGCUGAGAGAGCCCCUGAAUACACGGAGCCCCUUGGGGGGCUGCAGCGGAGCCUCAAGAUUCGCAUUCAGGUGGCAGGUCUGUGGGUGGUUCUGCACCCUCUUCGCCUCCCAGAACCCAUGGCACCCUGUCCCCUUCCUCUCUCGUUCCUGCCCGGCCUUGCCCUUUGCUCUCAGCCCUCCUAUGUGGGCACCGGGCUCCCCAGCCAAGCAGGGACCCUCCUCCCUUUCUCUGCAGGGAUCUACAAGGGCUUCUGUCUGGAUGUGAUCAGGAAUAAGUACGAAUGUGAGCUACAGGGAGCCAAACAGCACCUGGAGGUGAGCCUGAUUGGGCACACUGGGGGCAAGGCGGGGCUCAAGGCCUGAAGUGGCCUCACCCCAUCCGUCCUGCUGAGCUGUUGCCCCCUCUUCCAGAGUGAGAAGCUGCUGCUCUAUGACACGCUGCAGGGGGAGCUGCAGGAGCGGAUCCAGAGGCUGGAGGAGGACCGCCAGAGCCUGGACCUCAGCUCUG